CGUCUGUCAAGAGACGGUAGCGGUAUUCAAAGAAUACAACCUGCGCCGACAUUAUGAAUCCCGUCACAAAGACAAGUAUGCUAGCCUGCACGGCCAAAUGCGAGCAGAAAAAAUGUCUAAGCUAAAAACUGGACUGUUCGCUCAGCAGACUACAUUUGUACGGCAAACUCAGCUGAACCAAGCAUCAGUUCGGGCCAGCUUCCGUGUUGCUCAGCUGAUAGCAAGCUGCGGUAAAUCUUUCACUGAAGGAGAGUUUGUCAAGAAAUGUUUGAAUGUUGUCGUGGAGGAGGUCUGUCCCGAGAAGAAAGAUGUCUUUAAUGCCGUGAGUCUGUCGGCAAGUACAAUUACCCGACGUGUUGAAGAAAUUGGGGGUGAUGUGUAUGCCCAGCUGCAGCAGAAGACUAAAGAUUUUCAGUUUUUUUCAUUAGCACUGGAUGAGAGCACGGACGUGCAGGACACCGCGGAGCUUCUUAUUUUUAUUCGUGGAGUUAACGCAAACUUUGAGAUGUGCGAGGAGUCUUUGUGACGGGAUUCAUAAUGUCGGCGCAGGUUGUAUUCUUUGAAUACCGCCACCGUCUCUUGACAGACGAGACAAACAGCCUUUUCUUUCAACUGAACAAAAAAGUAAUCAUGUUGCCGACAUCGAUGAAGCCCAGCCUUCGUAUCAGUUUGAGCUGGCCGAGUUACAGAACUGUGAUGUUCUGAAAGACGCAUUCAAGCCCAACAGUCUCAUUGACUUCUAUGCCGCCCUCCCAAAUGACACCUACCCUAACAUAAAACAACACGCAAUGAAGAUGUCCACACUUUUUGGUAGCACGUAUAUCUGCGAGCAAACCUUUUCACGCAUGAAACUCCUGAAAACUCCGAGAUCAAGAUUGACAGAUGAACAUUUGCAUCAGUGUCUGAGACUGGCUGUGACUAGAAUGGAACCGGACAUUCAACUUCUCUCCAGCCAGAUGCAGGCCCACAGUUCACACUGAUGAACACACAGUACAUAGAGGGAAGUUGAUGAGAGGGAGCCUACAGUGGUGUCUACUGGGCUAGCCUAUGGAACCUACAAAGAACACAAGAACUUUGAGAGACAUUUGAGAUUCUGCUGUGACAAGUUUACCUUUUAUCUAGGAUUGUGCAUGGCACAGCAUAACUUUCUUUCUGUGAAGAACCCAGAGAGGGUUAUUUGAUCUCAGAAAGGGUUAUUAAUAUUUGGAUAUGUGUGGUGCGCUGGAGUGUCAGCAUGUUUUCUGGAAAACAAUAAAUGAUUACAUUUAGGGA